GACGAACGCUGGCGGCGUGCUUAACACAUGCAAGUCGAGCGGUAAGGCCUUUCGGGGGUACACGAGCGGCGAACGGGUGAGUAACACGUGGGUGACCUGCCUUUAGCUUCGGGAUAAGCCUGGGAAACCGGGUCUAAUACCGGAUAUGACCUCAUGUCGCAUGGUGUGGGGUGGAAAGUUCUUCGGCUAGAGAUGGGCCCGCGGCCUAUCAGCUUGUUGGUGGGGUGAUGGCCUACCAAGGCGACGACGGGUAGCCGGCCUGAGAGGGCGACCGGCCACACUGGGACUGAGACACGGCCCAGACUCCUACGGGAGGCAGCAGUGGGAAUCUUGCGCAAUGGGCGAAAGCCUGACGCAGCGACGCCGCGUGAGGGAUGACGGCCU
rnacentral:rRNA from 1 species